rnacentral:rRNA from 1 species
CCUACGGGGGGCUGCAGUGGGGAAUAUUGGACAAUGGGGGCAACCCUGAUCCAGCCAUGCCGCGUGUGUGAAGAAGGCCCUCGGGUUGUAAAGCACUUUCAGUGAGGAAGAACGCCUGGUGGUUAAUACCCAUCAGGAAAGACAUCACUCACAGAAGAAGCACCGGCUAACUCCGUGCCAGCAGCCGCGGUAAUACGGAGGGUGCGAGCGUUAAUCGGAAUUACUGGGCGUAAAGCGCGCGUAGGUGGCUUGAUAAGCCGGUUGUGAAAGCCCCGGGCUCAACCUGGGAACGGCAUCCGGAACUGUCAAGCUAGAGUGCAGGAGAGGAAGGUAGAAUUGCCGGUGUAGCGGUGAAAUGCGUAGAGAUCGGGAGGAAUACCAGUGGCGAAGGCGGCCUUCUGGACUGACACUGACACUGAGGUGCGAAAGCGUGGGUAGCAAACAGGAUUAGAUACCCCAGUAGUC